rnacentral:rRNA from 1 species
UACGUAGGGACCAAGCGUUGUUCGGAAUUACUGGGCGUAAAGGGCUCGUAGGCGGCCAACUAAGUCAUGCGUGAAAUCCCUCGGCUUAACCGGGGAACUGCGUGUGAUACUGGAUGGCUUGAGAUUGGGAGAGGGAUGCGGAAUUCCAGGUGUAGCGGUGAAAUGCGUAGAUAUCUGGAGGAACACCGGUGGCGAAGGCGGCAUCCUGGACCAACACUGACGCUGAGGAGCGAAAGCCAGGGGAGCAAACGGG